rnacentral:tRNA from 1 species
GGGUGGUUAGCUCAGCUUGGUAGAGCACGCGCUUGACGUGCGCGGGGUCGCAGGUUCAACUCCUGCACCACCCACCA